UAUACUCGUUGACUGAUAAUGAGAUGUUGGUAAGGAGUAGAAGAGCUUCUCAUCACAAACUUGUGCACCGCUGCACUUGUCUCAACCGUAUCUUGCAUGCUGCUUCCAAAACAGGUCAGUGGUUCCCAAGACUGCCUUUGUAGCAGCAUCUGGGGUGCGUAACGAACAACACAUCUCAGCCUUGGCCUCAGAUCAACACUCUUAGCAUCCCCGGGGAUGGGGCCUGGAAAUGUGUAUUUUACAAAAUCUCCCAGGGAUGUGUGCUGUGUUAGAAGUCUUGUGUGGAAUUCAUGCAAAGAAACCAGAAGAGCCAUUUAUGAUUUGAGCUACGACCUCAGGCUAAAUCCAUCACAUUUGUACCUUAAUAUUAAGAGGGACAAUCAUCAAGUCUAUUACAAAUGAAAAUGAGCAGUUUGAGGAGAAUAAAGAUCAUGAAAAGAUUCUUGCAGUCUCUGGAUGUCCCUCACACGAUCACAGUGCUAAAACUAUCAGAAAGGCAUACUUCACCUUUCAGCAUCUGAU